rnacentral:rRNA from 1 species
GCCAAAUAGCUAGCCUGAACACACAAUUAAAACUCAACCAUAUAUAACCUAAGUCAUCUCUAAAAACUAAAACAUUCUACCCCCUCAGUAUAGGCGAUAGAAAAGGACCCCAGAGCAAUAGAAAAAGUACCGCAAGGGAAAGCUGAAAGAGAAAUGAAACAAACCGCCAAAGCUAAAAAAAGCAGAGACUAACUCUCGUACCUUUUGCAUCAUGAUUUAGCAAGAUAAGCCCAAGCAAAGGGAACUUAAGUUUGGCCCCCCGAAACCAGGAGAGCUACUCCGGGGCAGCCCAAAGGGGCGAACCCGUCUCUGUGGCAAAAGAGUGGAAAGACCCCCGAGUAGAGGUGAUAAGUCUACCGAGCCUGGUAAUAGCUGGUUGCUCAGAAAAUGAAUAUUAGUUCAGCCCUAUAUAAUCCUAAUACUACGGACAAAAGAAACAAGUAAUACAUAGGAGUUAGUCAAAGGGGGGACAGCCCCUUUGAAAAAGGAUACAACCUUAACUAGGAGAACAAGGAUCAUAAACCCCAAGGAAACCUAUGCCCCAGUGGGCCUAAAAGCAGCCACCUGUAGAGAUAGCGUUAAAGCUCAAGAAAUAACUGACCUAUAAUAAAGAUAAACAAAUCCGAACUCCCUUUAAACACUGAGCCCCCCUAUGAAAACAUAGAGAAGACAAUGCUAGAAUUAGUAAUAAGAAGGACACGCCCUUCUCCUAGCACGAUUGUAAGUCAGACAGGACAAACCACUGAUGAUUAACGGACCCAUAAGAGAGAACAGCAAUAAACAAAAGCAUCAAGAAGACCCUGCUCCAGUUACCGUUACCCCAACACAGGAGUGCGCCGAGGAAAGAUUAAAACGGAGAGAAGGAACUCGGCAAACCUAAACCCCGCCUGUUUACCAAAAACAUCGCCUCUUGCAAACUAUGAAGUAUAAGAGGUCCCGCCUGCCCUGUGACAGCAAUGUUUAACGGCCGCGGUAUUUUAACCGCGCGAAGGUAGCGUAAUCACUUGUCUUUUAAAUGGAGACCUGUAUGAAUGGCAUAACGAGGGUUUAACUGUCUCCUCCCCCCAAUCAAUGAAAUUGAUCUGCUCGUGCAGAAGCGAGCAUGAGAACAUAAGACGAGAAGACCCUAUGGAGCUUUAGGCAAAUGACCAAGCACACAUAACCCCUUACCAUACUAAGGAGGAAAAUAAAACGCCAUUGGACAAAAUGCCUUCGGUUGGGGCGACCAUGGAGGAAAAAAAAGCCUCCAGGUGGAACGGGAAAACCCCUAAACUAAGAGAAACAACUCUAAGUAACAGAAAUUCUGACCAAACGUGACCCAGGACAAACCUGAUCAACGAACCAAGUUACCCUAGGGAUAACAGCGCAAUCCCCUCCCAGAGUCCGUAUCGACGAGGGGGCUUACGACCUCGAUGUUGGAUCAGGACAUCCUAAUGGUGCAGCCGCUAUUAAGGGUUCGUUUGUUCAACGAUUAACAGUCCUACGUGAUCUGAGUUCAGACCGGAGUAAUCCAGGUCGGUUUCUAUCUAUGAUCUUGCUUGCCCCCAGUACGAAAGGACCGGAGCAAGGGGGCCCACAAAGAAAACAAGCCUCAUUCCAAUUUACUGAAACCAAAUAAAGUAACAAAUGGAAAAGAUAUAAUUGCUAGAGAUAAUAGCAUC